rnacentral:tRNA from 1 species
GAGAUAUUAGUAAAGCAUUACAUAAUCUUGUCGAGAUUAAAUCACGGGCCAAACACCCGUAUAUCUCU